rnacentral:rRNA from 1 species
GGGGUAGAGUAAUGCGUGACCAACCUGCCCCAUGCUCCAGAAUAGCUCUUGGAAACGGGUGGUAAUGCUGGAUGCUCCAACUAGACGCAUGUCUUGUUGGGAAAGUGUUUAGUGGCAUGGGAUGGGGUCGCGUCCUAUCAGCUUGUAGGCGGGGUAAUGGCCCACCUAGGCUUCGACGGGUAGCCGGCCUGAGAGGGCGGACGGCCACAUUGGGACUGAGAUACGGCCCAGACUCCUACGGGAGGCAGCAGUC